rnacentral:rRNA from 1 species
UACGUAGGGUGCGAGUGUUAAUCGGAAUUACUGGGCGUAAAGCGUGCGCAGGCGGUUCGUUGUGUCGGUGGUGAAAUCCCCGGGCUCAACCUGGGAACUGCAUCUGUGACUGCAUAGCUAGAGUACGGUAGAGGGGGAUGGAAUUCCGCGUGUAGCAGUGAAAUGCGUAGAUAUGUGGAGGAACACCGAUGGCGAAGGCAGCCCCCUGGGUUAACACUGACGCUCAUGCACGAAAGCGUGGGGAGCAAACAGG